AUUGAUUCAUUGCAGUUCGGCUCGGCUUCCAGCAACGAUAAAUCUGAUUCUCUCUUUCUUUACCAACACAAUUCUUCUAUAUUCUCAUUCAAAUUUUUUUCUCUCUCCACCAAAAAAUGGGAUUUGUCUCCAAAAUCAGUCUUUGUUUUGCUUCAAUUUCUUAUUAUUUUUCUUCACAAACAUCCAUACUCGAUUUUCUCUGAUUUUAUUCUUCCACAAGAACAACUUAGGGGGACAUCGGAGGAGACGAUGGGUGAUCUUUCUUUUACCUUGACCGACGAAAUUGCUGUGGAGAAGACGACGCAAUCGAAUUAUUUACCUUGAAGACGACAGAUGAGCUUUCUUUUAGUUUCCAUAGUUCUUCGUGGUAUUCUAAUCAAGUACAAUGGCUCUUGGUUUAGGUUUUUUUCUGAUGGAAUCAUAAUGAAAAUGUAACCUGCAAAAAAUUGCUUGAUUUUGAAAGUUUGUUUCGAUAUUAAAUGUAAUUUGCAUAGAUUACUGAUUAACUUGAGCUAUUGUGGCUAAUUGCCUAGGAAUCUGAUCAUCAAGCAGUUCAAACCCUCUGUUUCGUAUAUUUCAAUUAUUUAUUGCUCAUUGUCAAGUUGUGCAUUGGUUUCUUCAGUCAUUUUUCUAUGUAUUUCAAGUAGCUUGUCCCUUGAAAGUAGUCUGUGACCUUGAAGUGAUUCAUGAGUUAGCUAAUUGCAGGUUGCCCAACUUUAGGUAGUAGAUACUGAAUCCAAAAGUUCAGAAAUGGGGAAGGAAUCAAAGGAGAUGAAUCAAUUAAGUGGAAAGAAAUCGAAGAAGAUGACAUUCUUGAUUUUGUAUUUCCGUCAUGCAGCUGAUUCUAUCUUCAUACUCUCAAAAAAUUUAGCUAAGUACAUACAUAUCAACAGUGCAUCCUUGAAGGUUUAUGCUCACAAGGAUGUAUCCAUGGGGUCAUGGAUGAUGGGUCUCCGCGCAACCAUAUAGAUGACAACCAUAUGUGCUGUAAGCCAAGACAAGAUCUGCUCGUUGGCUUGAAGUUAAAGUGAGACGAGCCUUUGCAGCAACGCUUGGGUGUUGGGAUACAUUUUGUAACUAUCAAGGAGUGAUUUAUUUUGUUAAAAAAUUAGUGCACUUAAUACCAAUUCUAUCUUUUCAAUCUUCAUAACUUCCAUUGUUUUGGAAUAGUUCAAGUAUAUAUAAUAGCAAACGAAAAAUUGUUAUGGCUUGUUGCAAAAUUGAUUGGGCAAAACCACAACAAUCUGUUUAAAUUUCACAAGUUUUUUUCUUUC